CACUUCCUGGAACUCCUGCCAGGCAGGAAGUACAAUGCUUCCAAAAGUUACCCCGGACGGCCAGAUGGAGGGGCUUCUAAAGCAAAUACGUCCUGGGACCCAAGGGGCUAAACGUCUGAAAAAACAACUAAAGCCAGUUAUGGCAUAAUCAGGCUUCAGGAGACAGACAGACAGAACUGCAGCUCGUUUGCUCUGCGUGGAUCAGAUCAAGAGGAAAGCUUCGGCAGGCUGCUUUCCAUCCUGGCUCACCUGGCUCCAGUGACACCUCACAAGACUGCAGAUUGAUCUGUUCUGUCCCCAGCGCUGCAGGGCUGAUGGCCCAGGAAUCCACCUCUGUGACUGUCAUGAAGCCCGGGCUGAGUUAACGGUGACGAGUUUUGGAGGCAACCAGUCUUAAAAAUUGGAGUCACCAUCCUCAACUUCUAGAUUGCGAGACUGAAACUCAAAAGAGGCUGAGGAAUUUCCCCAAAGUCACACCACUGGGAAGCACAGGAAAGUGAAGAAACCAGGACUAGCUGCCUCAGACUCCCAUCGCCUCACCCUCAGAGAGCUGCCGCCACGACCUAUGCAGGCAGCAGGUAGAGCCUCUUCUGUCUCCCUGGCCUUCCCUGUGUCGAGAAGGAUGAAGACUGAGGUGAUGUUGCAGCUGUGGUGCGAGCGGAGGACGUGGCUGUGCAGGAACUUGGAGAGGAUUUCCUUGGUGAGCGUGUCCUCCAGGUGCUGGAGUUUCCCCUCGUCGGGCAGGAUGAAGAAGGCGGUGGCAUUGCCCACGUAGUCCAUCAGCAGCACCCAGCUGGCGAGCGUGUCGCAGUAGUGGAGGUCGAACAUGCCCAGGCGGCUCAUCAUGGGCACCUUCACCGUGGUCUCCGCGUCCACGUGGAAGUCCUCCUCUGUGGUGCGCUCCGCAUCGAAGGGCUUCUCCCAUUUGCCUGGAGGGAAGGGGUGGCAGACAUCAGCCAGGGAUGGGAGAAGGUUUAAUAAAAGUCGUAGAACAAAGGA